UACGGGGGGGGGUAAGCGUUGUUCGGAAUUACUGGGCGUAAAGGGCUCGUAGGCGGCCAACUAAGUCGGACGUGAAAUCCCUCAGCUUAACUGGGGAACUGCGUCUGAUACUGGAUGGCUUGAAUUCGGGAGAGGGAUGCGGAAUUCCAGGUGUAGCGGUGAAAUGCGUAGAUAUCUGGAGGAACACCGGUGGCGAAGGCGGCAUCCUGGACCGAGAUUGACGCUGAGGCGCGAAAGCCAGGGGAGCAAACGGG
rnacentral:rRNA from 1 species